rnacentral:lncRNA from 1 species
CUUAUUAUCAUUUAAUAUUCAUAACAUUGUCCAAGAGAUGUGAAGCUUAUCAAAAGUUAGCAAAAAUAAAUUAGACCCAAUAAGAAUCCUUCAUAUUCCGUGAUUCCACCUGAUCAACUGUAUUUCCUCAUACAGAAACACAGGGUCUGCCCUACCUUAAUAACAAAGAUCAUGCAGUGUUUGGGGUUUUUCUUGAGUAAAAGCAACAAUCUUAUUUGCAUUUCUUUGAAGGAAAAAGCUGAAAUGAGAACAGAUGAUUGGAAAAAUGACUGACAGAUGAGGAGAGACUCUAACCGCAGAUUUCAGGAUUUAAUUUAGGAUGUGUGGGUGCGACUUCUCAAAUGAGAAUUUGAAAAAUGGAGAUUUUUGUCUAUUUUACUUGGGGUCUCUGUGCCCAGCUGUGUGCCCUGGUCAAGAAUUUCUCCAGUGCAUGCUCCCCGUGAUGCCUAGAGGUGGUGGGGAAGAAGUGCGGAGGCUGGAGAAGGGUGUCCAGCAUGGGGAGACCAAAGUAACAAGUUCUAGUACUCUGCAGAACAGAGGGAGGACUGUGGUUCACAAUAGCCUGCCUGUUCCACAUAUGAACAGCUAGAAGAAGGGGCUUAGAGUCUCUACACACAAAGUAACAAUGCAGAGGUGGGACCUUAACUUCCCUGAUUGGAUCAGUGCAUGUGAUAGACAUGUAUUUUGUUGUUUGUUUCUUUGGGUGUUGGGUAUUGAGCCCAGCGGUACUAUAUCAUGGAGCUACAUUCCCAGUCCUUUAUAGUUUUUAUUUUGGAAUGGCCUUGCUAAGUUGCAGAGGCUGGCCUCAAACUUGCCAUCUUCUGCCUCAGCCUCCCAAGUUACUGGGAUUACAAGCAAGCAUGUACUACUGUGCCUGGCUGUAUAUAUGUAUUGAAAUAUCACACUGUACCCUAUUAAUACAUAUUAUUAUGUGUCAAUCAAAGACAUUUUUUUAAUGUUUAAAGAGAUAGAAAUGUUAACCACCCUGAUUUGAUUAUUAUACUCUCUGUAUAUGUAUCAGAUUUUUCACAGUGUACCCAGUAAAUUUCUACAACUAAAAUAUUUUUAAAAUGUAUGAAUCUGUGCAUUCAUUCACCUUUGGUUCUUUAGAGUCCCUCUAGUAUGCCUUCUCUACCAGCCUGUCUGACUUUUUCUAUCAUCAGUGACACCUGAAUAAAUUUACUCUCCACUCCCCACCAGAAAAAAAAAUUUAAAAACACUUAUCAUCACCAUGUUUUAGUCAUUUAGACCAUUAUCAUCUUGCAUGGCAGUUCCUUUAUAACACAGUGGAAAUAUGGCUCAGUUGUUGGUUCUGAAACCAGAAUUAAAAUUUGCAGUAGCAGCAUCUCUUUGUGAUAAAUAAC